ACACCUCAACUCUCAUGGUUUGCCAUGAUGAGCUUGGACUUUGGGGGUUUUGCUGGCCUGUGGUCGGCUCCUCUCAAACGAAUCAGCCUGCCAGUGUUUGGUGGCAUCACGAGUGUGAUAACUAUCUGCGCUUGUGGUUUUCCACCUGUUAACCUUUGGUGACGAAGGUUCGCUGGAGCUCAUAAACGUCCCUCCUCUGCGAGGACAAUUUUUUAAU
rnacentral:misc_RNA from 1 species